GACAAGUUGGAUAACUAAUAGAGAGAAAUAAAGGUUUGAACAUCUUUUAACAGAUCGAAAUAUAUGGGACGUAAUCAAGAGGUGCUGUGUGAUGGACAGAUUAUUGAUGGACCAUACUACUGAAAGAAACCAGUGCAGCCUGUGGAUGAUCCCUAUGGGCUAAAUGCUGUCAUUGUUUUUGGAACUUUCUCUGUCCCAUUAGCAGACAUGUAUCCUGAAAUUACACAUUUGGAAGAACCAACAGUUGGAAUUCCUGAACCUGAGGAAGAGAAUUCUGCAUCUUAGGCAGCACCAGUGGAACAGUGACCACUCAGCUUCCUAAAUUUGGGAGGAUAGAACUACAAUCAAAAGGAGGAGACAGUGUCCUAGUGGAAUUAUCAGUGGGCUAUUAUUCCAGGGACACAGGUAAAGGUUCCAGGGACCUGGGUUUGAAUCCCACCACAGAACAUGAUGGAAAUUGCAUCCAGUAAAAAAAUCUGGAAUGAAGAUUCAAUUGUUGGAAAAAUAUCAUCUAGUUCACCAUGUCCUUUAAGGAAGAAAAGUGCCAUCCUUACCUAUGUAUGACUCUCAAUUGCACCCUCAACAAUUAGGGAUGAGCAAAAAAUGUUGCCCCAGCCAAAGAAACUCUCAUCUUGGGAAUUCCAUGAACUUCAGCUCAAGCUGUGCCUGCCCAGCAUUCCUCUCUUUACUUGAACUAAAGUGACACAAACUUCCUAGUUUUAUAUUUAGAACCUUUUGUAAAUCUAUUUAUAAAUAUUUAUAAAUUGCCUCUGACUGAGCCGUUACCUAUGUCUGUGUUUGUCUCUGCCCAAGAAACACACUUCAAUAUAUUUCAUUCAGCAACUCUGGCUUUUGUACUCAUUGCUACCAACAUUUAUGGCUGUGCCUUCAGCACCUU